GAUGAACGCUGGCGGCGUGCCUAAUACAUGCAAGUCGAGCGAACGGACGAGAAGCUUGCUUCUCUGAUGUUAGCGGCGGACGGGUGAGUAACACGUGGAUAACCUACCUAUAAGACUGGGAUAACUUCGGGAAACCGGAGCUAAUACCGGAUAAUAUUUUGAACCGCAUGGUUCAAAAGUGAAAGACGGUCUUGCUGUCACUUAUAGAUGGAUCCGCGCUGCAUUAGCUAGUUGGUAAGGUAACGGCUUACCAAGGCAACGAUGCAUAGCCGACCGGAGAGGGUGAUCGGCCACACUGGAACUGAGACACGGUCCAGACUCCUACGGGAGGCAGCAGUAGGGAAUAUUCCGCAAUGGGCGAAAGCCUGACGGAGCAACGCCGCGUGAGUGAUGAAGGUCUUCGGAUCGUAAAACUCUGUUAUUAGGGAAGAACAUAUGUGUAAGUAACUGUGCACAUCUUGACGGUACCUAAUCAGAAAGCCACGGCUAACUACGUG
rnacentral:rRNA from 1 species